AACAACAAACACAAAACAUGACACGGAGGAAACAAUGGAUUUCCUACCGUGACAACCAUUGGUCAAACUGCAUCUCAACCUUCUCAAACCUCCCCACCCCACAAUCUGUCUCCUAUUCGUCUGCCUCCUGCCCACACAGUCCUCUUUUUGGAAAAAUAAAAUGUAAAACUUUUGUGGACAAACAGUUUUUCACUGGAUGCUUUCUUUAACAACUUAAACAAGUGCGACGGGUUGGAUUCAUUUUGAUUUUUCAUAGUAAAGGACAGCGCGGCUCAGAUCGGGUGAUGGACUCGAGGUCUCUGCUGACACUGUCAGAUCCCUAAAACCUGUUCAGUUCUGUGGUCAAUGGGGAUAAAAACCCAGGUUUUCAAUGAGGUCUCA
ensembl:lncRNA